UCUAGCAGCAACAACAGUAGCAGCAGCAAAAGAAAACAAAGAAAACAUGGAUUUUCCUCCAAAGAUUCAAACUGAUUUGGCUGGGGACACAUUUGCCAGAGAACAGCAUUCCACAUUGAAAAUGACUGCAAUAUAAGACAGGAAUAAGACUUUGUCAUUCAUACUGAUGUACAUCAGCAUUUUAAUUCUGCUCCUGCCGGAGGGGAGAUACCGUCAUGGCCACUCUGACAUUGGAGGCAGCUGCUCUAAACAACAUUGAUGUGCUUAAUCCAAACCAGACUCUAAGGCUUUUGAAUCAAGAAGUUAUUUCCCUUCCUGCACUCUCGCCCCUCCCCAUCCAUUUUACUGUGAAUGAUCAGCUGUAACAAUCUGUACUCUUGUACUUGCUGUGUCUUGUUAUGUGGCCAAAAUAUUCUAGCUUCCUGCCUUUUAUGUGUUCCAUGAUUUCUUUUUUGGCCAUAUUCCAACUCAGAAAGCUUUGGCGGUUGCAUCCCUGCAAGGGGUGAGGAUAAGCAAUACAGGAGGAGCUGCGACUUGAACUAGGAAUUUUGCUAGCUUAUUGUGCAGCAUCUCUCGAAGCAGGACAUAUCCAGUUCAGGCUCCUGCAUGGCUGCUUGUGGCUGGGAUGGGGAAUGACUCUAGCUUGCUGAAAGUCCACUUGGUGUUUCUGACUCUGGCCAGAGAUAGAUGCUCACAGAAAGGUCUGGCUUUGAUCUUCUGCAUUGGCAACAGUCGUGGGGGAAUUCCCUUUCAGAGAUGUACUUUGGACUGCUGCCAGGAACACCAACCAGCUCCAGGAACACUGUAAGUGCUUGUGCUGGACUCUGCCUUACCUGCUGUGAUGCUAAACUGAGAUCCUGCCUCAUUCUGUCAGCUAAAGCUCUGUAAAAUGAUGCACAGAUAAGUAUCACUUUUUUAUUAUUAUGAAAUCACAAGUUAUGGUUUCCACAUUCCUGUUCUUUAGUUGUAGCCUCCAUUUUAGAUGGUUGG